UGUUUCUGGUGAUGUUUAGACUUUGAAAAGUAAUAUUAUAAAAAAUUUAAUGGGUCUUGUCAAGUUAGUGUCUUCAAGUACAAUUUCGGAAGAAAAAGCUUUAAAAAAUUUGAAUAAAAACAUUUCACAAGCUACAAGUACUUUUCUUACUUUAAGUGAAAACAGAGUUGAACAAUUUUUCUUAAAAGAAAAUGUACCAUCAAACAAAAAGUUAACAAAACAACCACAGUUUUAUUCAAUAAAAAAAAGAAAAAAAGUUUCCUCUAUUAGCUAAACCUUCUAACGAUGAAAUUAAAGAGCUGUUUGAUUUUUCAAAGUGGGACUCAAAAAACAAAGUUGUAGCGCAGACAAAAAUUAUUCCAGAAAAUAAAUGUAAUGAAUUAACAAUAGAGAAGGCGUCAAAAAACGUUGCAGAAUCCAAGUUAUUAUUGCCAGAGCAAAGAAAAGUUUUAGCAUAUUUUGGGUAUUCCAACCCAAUUGUAACUCAUAUUUUAACAGACAAAGACCUGCAGACUGAUGGAAAACUUCUUCAUGCUGAAGUUAUCAAACAUGACAUCAAUGUCGUAAAAGACUUAGUUAAUCCAGACACAUUUUUAAAACUUCAGAAAAAUGUGCUACAUCUUAAACAAAGUUGGAGUUGUUUGAGUUGUAACAAACCACAAUUUGAAGACAUGAUUGAGUGUGAAGAUUGUUUGACUUGGUA